rnacentral:tRNA from 1 species
GACCUCGUAGCUCAACUGGAUAGAGCAACGGCCUUCUAAGCCGUAGGUUCUGGGUUCAAGUCCUAGCGGGGUCGCCA